GAUGAAGAACGUAGCGAAAUGCGAUAAGUAAUGUGAAUUGCAGAAUUCAGUGAAUCAUCGAAUCUUUGAACGCACAUUGCGCCCCCUGGUAUUCCGGGGGGCAUGCCUGUCCGAGCGUCAUUACGACCCUCAAGCUCAGCUUGGUGUUGGGCCCCGCCGCCCCGGCGGGCCCUAAAGUCAGUGGCGGUGCCGUCCGGCUCCGAGCGUAGUAAUUCUUCUCGCUCUGGAGGUCCGGUCGUGUGCUCGCCAGCAACCCCCAAUUUUUUUCAGGUUGACCUCGGAUCAGGUAGGGAUACCCGCUGAACUUAAGCAUAUCAAUAAGCGGAGGA
rnacentral:misc_RNA from 1 species